rnacentral:rRNA from 1 species
GAUGAACGCUGGCGGCGUGCCUAAUACAUGCGAGUCGAGCGAACAGACGAGGAGCUUGCUCCUCUGACGUUAGCGGCGGACGGGUGAGUAACACGUGGAUAACCUACCUAUAAGACUGGGAUAACUUCGGGAAACCGGAGCUAAUACCGGAUAAUAUAUUGAACCGCAUGGUUCAAUAGUGAAAGACGGUUUUGCUGUCACUUAUAGAUGGAUCCGCGCCGCAUUAGCUAGUUGGUAAGGUAACGGCUUACCAAGGCGACGAUGCGUAGCCGACCUGAGAGGGUGAUCGGCCACACUGGAACUGAGACACGGUCCAGACUCCUACGGGAGGCAGCAGUAGGAAAUCUUCCGCAAUGGGCGAAAGCCUGACGGAGCAACGCCGCGUGAGUGAUGAAGGUCUUCGGAUCGUAAAACUCUGUUAUUAGGGAAGAACAAAUGUGUAAGUAACUAUGCACGUCUUGACGGUACCUAAUCAGAAAGCCACGGCUAACUACGUG